AUUGAACGCUGGCGGCAGGCCUAACACAUGCAAGUCGAGCGGAGCGGCGGACGGGUGAGUAAUGCCUAGGGAUCUGCCUGGUAGUGGGGGAUAACGUCCGGAAACGGGCGCUAAUAUCGCAUACUAUCAGAAGAGCCUAGGUCGGAUUAGCUAGAUGGUGGGGUAAAGGCCUACCAAGGCGACGAUGCAUAACUGGUCUGAGAGGCUGAUCAGUCACAUUGGAACUGAGACACGGUCCAGACUCCUACGGGAGGCAGCAGUGGGGAAUAUUGGACAAUGGGCGAAAGCCUGAUCCAGCAAUGCCGCGUGUGUGAAGAAGGUCUUCGGAUUGUAAAGCACUUUAGUUUGGGAGGCGUUACCAAAAGAAUAAGCACCGGCUAACUUCGUGCCAGCAGCCGCGGUAAUUC
rnacentral:rRNA from 1 species